AGCUGCCCGUGGUUUAUACAGAUAUGAUGGAGACAACAGUUCACAUUAUUUACAUCACCCAUGGGAAGGAAUGGACAAAUAUCUGUACUGUAAGGUCUAUUGUCGAUAUAACAGCCUGUUCAGAUUUGUGGCGGUGUGCGCACAGUGCUUUCGGUUUGGUAGCCGCUGUUCACAUUCACUGUACAUGAUGAAGCAUAAUUAUUAUCAGG